CAAGACCUUGCGCUUUUGGAGCGGCCGAUGCCUGAUUAGCUUGUUGGUAAGGUAAAAGCUUACCAAGGCUUCGAUCAGUAGCUGGUCUGAGAGGACGGCCAGCCACACUGGGACUGAGACACGGCCCAGACUCCUACGGGAGGCAGCAGUGGGGAAUUUUGGACAAUGGGGGCAACCCUGAUCCAGCCAUGCCGCGUGAGUGAAGAAGGCCUUCGGGUUGUAAAGCUCUUUCAGCCGGAACGAAACGGUUACGGUUAAUACCUGUGACUAAUGACGGUACCGGAAGAAGAAGCACCGGCUAACUACGUGCCAGCAGCCGCGGUAAUACGUAGGGUGCGAGCGUUAAUCGGAAUUACUGGGCGUAAAGCGUGCGCAGGUGGUUUUGUAAGUCAGAUGUGAAAUCCCCGGGCUCAACCUGGGAACUGCGUUUGAAACUACAAAGCUAG
rnacentral:rRNA from 1 species